UACGAAGGGGGCUAGCGUUGCUCGGAAUCACUGGGCGUAAAGGGUGCGUAGGCGGGUUUUAAGUCAGGGGUGAAAUCCUGGAGCUCAACUCCAGAACUGCCUUUGAUACUGAAGAUCUUGAGUUCGGGAGAGGUGAGUGGAACUGCGAGUGUAGAGGUGAAAUUCGUAGAUAUUCGCAAGAACACCAGUGGCGAAGGCGGCUCACUGGCCCGAUACUGACGCUGAGGCACGAAAGCGUGGGGGAGCAAACAGG
rnacentral:rRNA from 1 species